AUUGAACGCUGGCGGCAUGCUUUACACAUGCAAGUCGAACGGCAGCGCGGGCUUCGGCCUGGCGGCGAGUGGCGAACGGGUGAGUAAUGCAUCGGAAAGUGCCCAGCAGUGGGGGAUAGCACGGCGAAAGCCGGAUUAAUACCGCAUACGACCUGAGGGUGAAAGCGGGGGACCGAAAGGCCGUGCGCGAUUGGAGCGGCCGAUGUCGGAUUAGCUAGUUGGUGGGGUAAAGGCUUACCAAGGCGACGAUCCGUAGCUGGUCUGAGAGGACGACCGGCCACACUGGGACUUGGACACGGCCCAGACUCCUACGGGAGGCAGCAGUGGGGAAUUUUGGACAAUGGGGGCAACCCUGAUCCAGCCAUGCCGCGUGCGGGAAGAAGGCCUUCGGGUUGUAAACCGCUUUUGUUCGGGAAGAAAUCCUCUGGGCUAAUACCCCGGGGGGAUGACGGUACCGGAAGAAUAAGCACCGGCUAACUACGUG
rnacentral:rRNA from 1 species